rnacentral:rRNA from 1 species
UACGUAGGGUGCGAGCGUUAAUCGGAAUUACUGGGCGUAAAGCGUGCGCAGGCGGUUUUGCAAGCCGGAUGUGAAAUCCCCGGGCUCAACCUGGGAAUGGCAUUCGGGACUGCAAGGCUGGAGUGCGGCAGAGGAGACUGGAAUUCCUGGUGUAGCAGUGAAAUGCGUAGAUAUCAGGAGGAGUACCGAUGGCGAAGGCAGGUCUCUGGGCUGACACUGACGCUCAUGCACGAAAGCGUGGGGAGCAAACAGG